rnacentral:rRNA from 1 species
AUUGAACGCUAGCGGGAUGCUUUACACAUGCAAGUCGAACGGCAGCGCGGACUUCGGUCUGGCGGCGAGUGGCGAACGGGUGAGUAAUGUAUCGGAACGUGCCCAGUAGCGGGGGAUAACUACGCGAAAGCGUAGCUAAUACCGCAUACGCCCUACGGGGGAAAGCAGGGGAUCGUAAGACCUUGCACUAUUGGAGCGGCCGAUAUCGGAUUAGCUAGUUGGUGAGGUAACGGCUCACCAAGGCGACGAUCCGUAGCUGGUUUGAGAGGACGACCAGCCACACUGGGACUGAGACACGGCCCAGACUCCUACGGGAGGCAGCAGUGGGGAAUUUUGGACAAUGGGGGCAACCCUGAUCCAGCCAUCCCGCGUGUGCGAUGAAGGCCUUCGGGUUGUAAAGCACUUUUGGCAGGAAAGAAACGUCGUGGGCUAAUACCCCGUGGAACUGACGGUACCUGCAGAAUAAGCACCGGCUAACUACGUG